rnacentral:rRNA from 1 species
UGCACCUACGGGGCGCAGCAGUGGGGAAUAUUGGGCAAUGGGCGCAAGCCUGACCCAGCAACGCCGCGUGAAGGAAGAAGGCCCUCGGGUUGUAAACUUCUUUUAUCAAGGACGAAACAAAUGACGGUACUUGAUGAAUAAGCCACGGCUAACUACGUGCCAGCAGCCGCGGUAAUACGUAGGUGGCAAGCGUUAUCCGGAUUUACUGGGUGUAAAGGGCGUGUAGGCGGGGCUGCAAGUCAGAUGUGAAAACCAUGGGCCCAACC